AGGGCAGUUGGCGGAUGCCUAGGCUCUCAAUAGCGAUGAAGGACGUGAUAAGCUGCGAUAAGCCAUACUGAGAUGCAAAUAAUCGUUUAAGUAUGGAUUUCCGAAUGGGGUAACCCGGCAUGUUGAAGACAUGUCACCGAAAGGUGCUAACCCGGUGAACUGAAACAUCUAAGUAACCGGAGGAAUAGAAAACAAUUAGUGAUUCCCUAAGUAGCGGCGAGCGAACGGGGAACAGCCCAAACCAACCUUGUUUCGGCAUGGUUGGGGUUGUAGGACAGAAAUAAAUCUAACAAAGAUCUGCAGAAUAUACCUGGAAAGGUAAGCAGUAUAGGGUGAUAGCCCCGUAUGUAGGUUGGCGUGUGACGUUCUGUAUCCUGAGUAGCGCGGGACAUGUGAAAUCCUGUGUGAAUCCACCAGAACCAUCUGGUAAGGCUAAAUAUAUUGAGAGACCGAUAGCGAACAAGUACCGUGAGGGAAAGGUGAAAAGUACCCUGAACAAGGGAGUGAAAUAGUACCUGAAACCAGCUGUCUACAAGCGGUCGAAGCCUACGGGCGACGGCGUGCCUUUUGCAUAAUGAUCCUACGAGUUACUCCUCUCUAGCAAGGUUAAGGACUUCAGGUCCGGAGCCGAAGCGAAAGCAAGUCUUAAAUAGGCGUAUAGUUAGGGGGGGUAGACGCGAAACCUGGUGAUCUACCCAUGGUCAGGUUGAAGCUUCGGUAAUACGAAGUGGAGGACCGAACCCGGAGAUGUUGAAAAAUCUUGGGAUGAACUGUGGGUAGGGGUGAAAGGCCAAUCAAACCAGGAAAUAGCUCGUUCUCCCCGAAAUGCAUUUAGGUGCAGCGUCGGAAUCGAGUGUCAUAGAGGUAGAGCUACUGAUUGGGCUAGGGGGCUUCACCGCCUACCAAACCCUAAUAAACUCCGAAUGCUAUGACAUAUAUCCGGCAGUGAGGGCAUGGGUGCUAAGGUCCAUGUCCGAGAGGGAAACAACCCAGACUAUCUGCUAAGGUCCCCAAAUCGGGGCUAAGUUCAUCUAACGUGGUGCGGCUGCAUUGACAGCUAGGAUGUUGGCUUGGAAGCAGCCAUUCAUUUAACGAGUGCGUAACAGCUCACUAGUCGAGCGGCCGUGCGUGGAUAAUAAUCGGGGAUAAGCCCCGUACCGAAGCAGUAGAUAGAAAUAUGGUAGGGGAGCAUUCAUGCGACACUGAAGGUGUACCGUAAGGUAUGCUGGAGUCUCAUGAAAAGAAAAUGUAGGAAUGAGUAACGAUAAAGUGGGCGAGAAACCCACUCACCAUAAGACUAAGGUUUCCUGAUCAACGCUAAUCGGAUCAGGGUUAGUCGGGACCUAAGGCGAACCCGAAAGGGGUAGUCGAUGGAAAACAGAUUAAUAUUUCUGUACCUGCUACACAUUAAAAGUGACGGAGAUACGUAGUUGUUACGUGCUGACGGAAUAGCACGUUGAGCCUAGCCUUCUGGGCGAAGCGAAACAAUGAAAUAGCUUCCAAGAAAAGCGAGUGUAGCGGCCCGUACCGCAAACCGACACAGGUAGUCGAGGAGAAUAUCCUAAGGUGCUCGAGUGAUUCAUGGUUAAGGAACUAGGCAAAUUAGUCUCGUAACUUCGGGAGAAGAGACGCUCUUUUUUAAGAGCCGCAGUGAAUAGGCCCAAGCGACUGUUUAUCAAAAACACAUGGCUUUGCUAAAUCGAAAGAUGACGUAUAAGGCCUGACACCUGCCCGGUGCUGGAAGGUUAAGAGGAGGAGUGGCCGUAACUAUAACGGUCCUAAGGUAGCGAAAUUCCUUGUCGGGUAAGUUCCGACCUGCACGAAUGGUGUAACGAUUUGGGCACUGUCUCAACCAUGAGCUCGGUGAAAUUGUAGUAUCGGUGAAGAUGCCGAUUACCCGCAACGGGACGAAAAGACCCCGUGAACCUUUACUAUAGCUUUGCAUUGUUGUUGAUUAUUUGAUGUGUAGGAUAGGUGGGAGACUUUGAAGCUGUGUCGCUAGGCAUGGUGGAGUCGUCCUUGAAAUACCACCCUUUAAAUAGUUGUCAUCUAACCCUUUCGGGGACAGUGCAUGGUGGGUAGUUUGACUGGGGUGGUCGCCUCCAAAAGAGUAACGGAGGCUUCUAAAGGUACCCUCAGUAUGGUUGGUAAUCAUACGAAGAGUGUAAUGGCAUAAGGGUGCUUGACUGCGAGACUUACAAGUCGAACAGGUACGAAAGUAGAGCAUAGUGAUCCGGUGGUUCCGCAUGGAAGGGCCAUCGCUCAAAGGAUAAAAGGUACUCCGGGGAUAACAGGCUGAU
rnacentral:rRNA from 1 species